rnacentral:tRNA from 1 species
GCAGUGGGGGUUUGGUGGUAGAAAUUCUCGCCUUCCAUGCAGGAGACCUGGGUUUAAUUCCUGGCCAGUGCA